UACGAAGGGUGCAAGCGUUAAUCGGAAUUACUGGGCGUAAAGGGCGCGUAGGCGGCCAUGCGUGUCUUCCGUGAAAUCCCUCGGCUUAACUGAGGACGUGCGGAAGAAACUGCAAGGCUCGAGUCCGGGAGAGGGGGGUGGAAUUCCCAGUGUAGCGGUGAAAUGCGUAGAUAUUGGGAGGAACACCGGUGGCGAAGGCGGCCCCCUGGACCGGUACUGACGCUGAGGCGCGAAAGCGUGGGUAGCAAACGGG
rnacentral:rRNA from 1 species